rnacentral:rRNA from 1 species
UACGUAGGUGGCAAGCGUUGUCCGGAAUUAUUGGGCGUAAAGCGCGCGCAGGCGGUCCUUUAAGUCUGAUGUGAAAGCCCACGGCUCAACCGUGGAGGGUCAUUGGAAACUGGGGGACUUGAGUACAGAAGAGAAGAGUGGAAUUCCACGUGUAGCGGUGAAAUGCGUAGAGAUGUGGAGGAACACCAGUGGCGAAGGCGACUCUUUGGUCUGAUGACUGACGCUGAGGCGCGAAAGCGUGGGGAGCAAACAGG